ACGGUGGUGAAUACCUCAACGAUUAUACAUAUGUUAAUUAUCAUCAAGUUUGGGGGUAUCACCCAAAUUCGUCAUGGAGCUAUACUUAUGAAGACCAAUACUACGCUUCAAAUCCAACAUACACACCGGAAUUUUCAUGUCCACCUCCAUUGCCACAAGAAGAAAAGCCAAAUCCGAGGGAUGUAAUAUUGAAGGGCAUAGCAAACCUAGAGGAGAUGAGGAUUAACCAAGAGCUGUCAACCCAAAAUUUUAAUAAUCUGAUGGAACAACUCGUCACUACCUCAACCAAUGGUCCUCAAUACAUGGCUUCCGAGACUGAGACAGAUAAUUCAAGGUUAGAGGAAUUGUGGUCCAAGUUCAUAGCAUCAAAUGAGGAGAGGAGGAUUAAUCAAGAGCGG
rnacentral:lncRNA from 1 species